rnacentral:rRNA from 1 species
UACGUAGGGGGCUAGCGUUGUCCGGAUUUAUUGGGCGUAAAGAGCGUGUAGGCGGCCAGAUAGGUCUGCUGUGAAAACUCGAGGCUCAACCUCGAGAUGUCGGCGGAAACCAUUUGGCUAGAGUCCGGAAGAGGAAAGUGGAAUUCCUGGUGUAGCGGUGAAAUGCGCAGAUAUCAGGAAGAACACCCGUGGCGAAGGCGGCUUUCUGGGACGGUACUGACGCUGGGGACGCGAAAGCGUGGGGAGCGAACAGG